rnacentral:lncRNA from 1 species
AUAGAUUUAAUGGAAAAAAGAAAUGAUGAUGAGUUUGAUAUGUUUGCAAAGAAUAUAGCUUAUCAGUUACGAAAUAUUAAUUUAAGCUUGAAACUCGUACCAGGCUUCAUAUCCGCCAAUGAUGACGUAGCGUUCGCAUGUCGUAAUAAUAUUUUAGGUGAUAUUAUAAUUAAUGGUUUUCGAAAAUUCCUUAUCAUCUAGAAAAAAUAUGAAUAGAAAAAUAUGAAAAUAUGAAAAGUUUAGUUAGUGGUAUUUUAGCUUUUACGGCAAAAAUGUUCAAAGCAAAAAUACAUUAUUACAAGUAUCACUUUUGAUGAAAAGGAUGACCAAUCGAUUCGUGUAGAAGAAAAGCUCGUAAGAUUCUACUUAAGAAACUACCGAUGACUUGAAAUUUCGAAGAAUUUUAUUAAUUUUCUAUCAAAUAAUCUUAAUAUUAAAUUUUGUUUAAUAUCAAAUGUGACUCUUUCAAUUAUGUUACUUUGACCAAAAUAUUUUCUUCUAAAACUAGAAAUAACCUAUUCAUGGGGAAGCUUAUACAUAGGCACUGUACACUCUCAAUUUUUCUCGUUAUAUAAGAAUAUAUUUAUUAAUUUAAUUA